CCCAUAACAAGUGUGUUAGGAAGUGUGGACAAAGAAAACAAAGUGAUAGACCAUUCUAAAGAGCCUCUAGCACUCAACCGUGACCAAAGAGCUAAACCCACAAGAACCAUAAGUUUCUGAAGAGUGUCAGCAGCAAUGAACCUUGUGUUCAUAGUGUAAGGAUUGUUAGUAUAAAUGAAAUGAAAAGAAAGCAAAGUGGACAGCAAAAAGAGCCACAAAUCUGUUGAUAC
rnacentral:lncRNA from 1 species